rnacentral:rRNA from 1 species
UGACAACCGAGAGAUCGGGCGUUCCCCUUCGGGGGACAGGGUGACAGGUGGUGCAUGGUUGUCGUCAGCUCGUGUCGUGAGAUGUUGGGUUAAGUCCCGCAACGAGCGCAACCCUCGACCUUAGUUGCCAGCAUUCAGUUGGGCACUCUAAGGUGACUGCCGGCUAAAAGUCGGAGGAAGGUGGGGAUGACGUCAAAUCAUCAUGCCCCUUAUGACCUGGGCUACACACGUGCUACAAUGGGCGGUACAAAGGGUCGCGAACCCGCGAGGGGGAGCCAAUCCCAAAAAGCCGCUCUCAGUUCGGAUUGCAGGCUGCAACCCGCCUGCAUGAAGCCGGAAUCGCUAGUAAUCGCGGAUCAGCAUGCCGCGGUGAAUACCGGUUCCCGGGCCUU